UGGGGAAUAUUGCACAAUGGGCGAAAGCCUGAUGCAGCAACGCCGCGUGAGUGAUGAAGGUCUUCGGAUUGUAAAGCUCUGUCUUUUGGGACGAUAAUUGACGGUACCAAAGGAGGAAGCCACGGCUAACUACGUGCCAGCAGCCGCGGUAAUACGUAGGUGGCGAGCGUUGUCCGGAUUUACUGGGCGUAAAGGGUGCGUAGGCGGAUGUUUAAGUGAGAUGUGAAAUACCCGGGCUUAACUUGGGUGCUGCAUUUCAAACUGGAUAUCUAGAGUGCAGGAGAGGAGAAUGGAAUUCCUAGUGUAGCGGUGAAAUGCGUAGAGAUUAGGAAGAACACCAGUGGCGAAGGCGAUUCUCUGGACUGUAACUGACGCUGAGGCACGAAAGCGUGGGUAGCAAACAGGAUUAGAUACCCUGGUAGUCCACGCCGUAAACGAUGAGUACUAGGUGUAGGAGGUAUCGACCCCUUCUGUGCCGCAGUAAACACAUUAAGUACUCCGCCUGGGGAGUACGACCGCAAGGUUGAAAC
rnacentral:rRNA from 1 species